CGCCCUUCGGCGCGGGGGGGUCGGGGCCGGAGGGCCUCGAGCAAAAGCACGCGCACAGGUAGCGCGGGAGCGUGCUUUGCGGGAGCCGAAGGGACGCCCCGGGGCAUCUGCGAGCGUGGGGCUGUCCGGUGACUCUCUUUUGAACCUCGUUCUGCGCGCCCUGCGCUCGCUUUCCCCCUCCAACCUGUCCCGGCUGUCCGGGGAUGGGCUGCCAGAGCGUUUCUCCGUGCCGCGUAGCGCCGCGACCGUCCCGCUGCCGGCCGCGCUCCGGGCUCUGCUGCUGCUGCUGGCUGCGCUCGGUGCGCGCUCCCUGGGUGUCACCUCCGAGCGAUCCCGGACCGAGAGAAAGCUCCUACGAGAGCAAAGUUGGGCGCUUCCCUCAGAGCGUCGCGAACCUCAGCGCAAGCCGAGGUGCUCCCCGAGCAGGGUAUUCCCUCCUGCCGAGCGGCCAGCGCUAUGGAAAGAACCGAGGGGAAGCGGGAGGAAUCUCCGCGCGCUUCCCCGAAGCCACACGGGCGCAUCCCGGUGGCAGCGCGGGGCUGAGCUCCUCAGCCCGGUGUGUUUGGAAGCGUAACGCGAUACAUCGCCUCCCUUGAUCUCAUUCUGCCUUCCUCCUUAGCCGUACCUCACUGUACUUAAGAGGACGGUUUUGCUACCAGCCCUCUCCCCCCAUCCCCACGUUUUCAUCUCUUCCUCCUGCUUGCUCUCCUCUCGACAGCUCCAUACCUUUCCAUUAUUUCCUCACACGCAUCACACCACUCGAUCUCUGGCCAUUCCUGGCACCGCUCUCUGCCUUUGGCCACCACCCAGGUGUCCACACAGAGUUGGCAUCCAUCCCAUCCCGUACUACUGCCAUGUCCCGGCCCCGGGUGGCCUCUGUCAUCCCACUGCCACCUCGGCCUGCCCUGACUUUCCACCAGCCAUUGCUCAUCUCUGGAGAUGGAGUCACCUCCAACCUGUCUGGUACCAGGACCUGCAUACCUGGCAUCGUGGUCACGCAUGCUCACACUAGAUUCCAUCACAUACGAAGUAUAAGCAGUACCUGUUGGACUUGGCUAGGGUUUUUGCUGUGGACUUCCCCAUCACCAGUUUGUGCUUCUCUCUUGCCAUGGGCAUGGCCAAAGACUCCACUGCUCACCUGUGCUGCAUACUGUUUAACGCUCUUUGCCCUGGCACAUCCUUUAGCCGCAUAACGACCCUGAUAUGCUUUGUUGUCGCCAGUAUUUCCACCCCAGCGGAUCACCUUUCAGCUUGGCAUUAUGGGGAGCCCUCCAAGAGAGGUGUGCGAAGGGACAGGCACUGCACAGCUGCACUGGUGCAUCUGUCAGCCAACCAGCCGGUCAACCAUUCAGGCACCUCAAUGCUGCACUCGGGAGUUCCUGUCCUCCAAAAUAUACCUCUUCUUUCCCAAAAUUCUGAUACCUCGGCCUGACAAGCACUUCAUAUAUGAAACCUUAACGCCACAGCCUGCUGUUAGGAAUGUGCACGCUGCACCCAGUGCUGGAGCGAAACCAGAAGGGUAGAGCUCAGGUGUUUUGGAACCAUCCCACAGGCAGCCCCUGGCGGCCUUCCAGCAUGCUCUUCCUUUAAGCGUGCUCACUGUGCCUCUGGAGAAGACUGCUGAUCCAUCAGUUAAUCGUAUUGACUUCCAGCUGUGGGAGUGACCAGCGCCCUCCAUGCUGGACUGUAGUUCAGAUGAGCUUGGUGGAGCCGAAGGUACAUGGGCAGCUCCCAAAACAGCUGAAACAAACGGCCAAGUUACCUUUGCUCCACUGGUCAAGGGAAUACGUUCUGCCUUCGGUUCAUCAGCUCUGCUCCAUAAAGGUCUGGCUGGAAUUUCAGCUACUCCUAGAUGUUUGGAUAACAGGAGUGGACAACAGCAUUUUUUUCCAAACUGUGCUAAGAUCUCAUUUCUGCAAUGCACUAAAUGUAAUGGGAUGAAAGGCUUUGCAAGAGCAAAAAUAAAGGCUCAUAGACUGUUUGGGGAAGGCUGUUUUAGUAUUAAUUAUUAACUUGUAUUAUUCUUGCAGGAGAGCCUAGACACUCUAGCAACAGAUGAGAUCUCCACUGUCCUCAGCAACAUAAAAAGAGAAAAUGGUCAGCUCUUGCCCCAGAGAAGAUUACAUUUGGUGGAGCGAUAGGAAAUAUUUUCUUGGAAAAUGCUGAAUUGUUUCACGGCAGUCUAUCAAGUCCUGGUUUCAGAUAUUCUAUCCACCACCUAUUUCAUGACUGUUAUUUAGGCCUUGAUCCUCAGCUGGCAUAAAUCAAGCAUUGGGCUAUGUAAGUCAGAAGAGCCCUGCUGAUUUAUGUUUGCUGUGUCACCUCAGUGAAGCUGAUGAAGUUAUGCCAGCUGACAUCAGCUCAGGAUCUGGCCCCUAGCUGCUGUCAGUGCCAUUUAGUACCACCCUUCUUUUUCUGCUGCUUCCUUAGCACUGUGAGAUUCUUCUGGCUGACUGCAGGACCCAACAGAGACAGCUCCGCUUCCUGUACCCAGCCUCCUCUCCAGCUCAUUAACUCCAGUAGGAACAGGGGUGUGGGAGGGGAGAAGAUCCGGC
ensembl:lncRNA